rnacentral:Y_RNA from 1 species
GGUUGGUCCGAGAGUGGUGGGUUAUCGCUCAUGAGUGUUGUUCCCCCCCACCACUGCGUUUGACUAACUACGGUUUU